AAGUCGUAACAAGGUUUCCGUAGGUGAACCUGCGGAAGGAUCAUUAACACGUACCCUUUACAAUUAUAAACCCCACACUCUUCUAUUUGUCGCAAGACUCUUAGAUGGCGAACUUUGAAGGCUUUCUUCCGGUGCUUGGCAACAAGUGCUGGCUCUGCGUAAGAUGGAUAGACGCUAGCAGAGAGCGGGAAGCCGGUCGGCAGGAGUACUCUUGUCGGCUAAAUUGGCGUUUGUCUACCUUUUAUUAAACAACACAAACAUUUUCGACGAAAACUUUUUCGAUGCUAGUUGGCGCAAGCUGACUGCAAAGAAUCUAUUCAAAAACUAAAAUACAACUUUUAGCAAUGGAUAUCUUGGUUCUC
rnacentral:misc_RNA from 1 species